AUACUGUAAGCAAGCACAUACACUAAACUUGGAGAGAUACAGAUAGGAUUAGCAUGGGCGCUGCACAGGAAUGACAGGCAAAUUCAUGAUGCGUUCUACACUUAU